GUGGCACAUAUCCAUUUGUUGCUAUGACUAGUGCAGAAUUCUGCACCAUUCUUGGAUGAGUUACUGGUCACAUAAUAUCGAGGGUGUCAGCUUUUUGAGAUGAUCCUAAUUAUCCUAUAGAGUACAGACUGAAGCUAGUAUAUCAAUGGGUACGGUGAUCUGAUUCCUUUUAGUAUACACUGCUAUAAUUUUAAGUGUUUGACCUUGAUGCAAUCAGAUUGGUUGCUUUGUUUUUUGGUAACUUCUGUUUUGGACUUUAAUAGAAAAGCUCCCUUUGCCUUUUGACUUAGCGGGCUGGUUCUGAUUGAAGUUGUUGCAUAACUGUUGUGCAUGCUCUGCCUUGAUUGCUUAGCUUGAUUAGGAAUUGCAGGCUUGUGGGCUGAUGUGGCAUGUUGAAUUGUUGCAUAUACUCCAACACUAAUGCUGCAUCACUCAGUGUGUGUUCUACCCUUGUUUUAGGAAAUAUUCUCUCCGUGGAUUAAUAAGGAUCCACAGAAUACAGAAGUUGGAGGUGAAUUAUUUUCGACGCCAUUGACCUGAAACACCAUCUAGGGGAUCAUACUUAUGUCUCAGUAACUGAUAGUGGUUACUGGCAGAUAGAGCUAGAAGGUCUUGACAUUGCAAACAGUUCAACAGGUCACUGUUCGGCAGAAUACUGCAUCAUGUGAAGAGAUGGCUACAACAAUGUCUACGGCAGAAUCUGUAGCUCUUAAAGGACUACCUCAAUGCAUUGUUACUGUGAUAGCUGAGUUUGCCAGAUUCAGCAAGACUUUGAUAUUAUACUGGAGCCAUGUCCCAUGUUUGCUGAAGCCAUCCUUCAAGUCAGAAUCAGUACCCUGGGGUGCUCCUAAUAAGCUUCUUGGAGCUGAUGGCAGCUGGAUAAGGCACUGUGUCAUGUUCCUGAGUGGCUGACCUCAUGAGAUAAUAAAAUCAACCUUCAGAAGUGACAGAGAUGCCAGCUGCUCCUGUACACCCUUUCCACUCCAAGAUGAACAUUCGAAGAGGGGUACUAGAAGAAGAAUGUGCAGACAUAAUGCAGCACUUCUCCCGACUUAAAAGGAGGAAGGCAAAGGAAAAGGAAAAGGAUAUAUCGUCAUCUGAUGAAUCAGGCCAACGGUUUAGGUUUGCUUGAAAGGUUAAACCUGAUUUAUAUUCUUGUCUGAAGAUAUUGGGAUUAUGUGUGUCUGCUAUAUAAGUUGUCAAAUGUUUUCGGUUUCGCGUGGAAAAUAUCAAAUGUCUGCUAUAUAAGGUAGCUUAUUGAAUGUUUGGCACGACAGUUAACCUGUCCUAUCACUAUUU